AACACAACUAUAUUUAUUAUGUGUUGGCUGAAAUGUUGCUCAUGCACUUAAACAUUGACUGUUAAUUUAAGCAUCCAUCAUAUUUUUUUCUUUUUCUGGUUGCUGAACUCAUGGACACAGAAUUCUUUAUAUUUUAAACAGAGUGAAAGCAAGUAAUGCUUGUUGCCUGGCUAUCAGUGUGUGCAUAGUAUACGAUAUGGUGCUUUUCUUUCAACAAGACUCAGAAUUAAAAGUAAAGUUGAACCAUCUGACAUGUGAAUGGGUAGCUCCAUUUUCACACUUGGAAACUUAAAGGUUGUUGUUGUAUUAUUUCAUUAAAUAUCCCUCCUACAAGAAUAAGAUAACAUGCAUCUAUCUUGAUCUUCGUAUUAUAUGAUUGACCUGUAUGACUAUCACAUUUAUUGUAGCUUAUGAAAUAGACAAAUAGUAGUACUACCAAUAAACUUCAGUGGAAGAGUCCUGCUGCAAUUGAAGUCUUCACUUUUAUACUAGCUUAAGACAUAGAACUAAAUAAUGCUUUGUUUCCUCUUACAAGGUCAAAUGUUAUAUACAUCUAAGUAGUCGUGCUCCUUUAUUUCGUUGAAGUUUUUUUUUACCCUGAGCAUUUUUUUUAUUUCGUUGGUCAUUCUUGAAACAGCUUCCUUCCGGAGUAAUUCUAGAUAAUAUUAUUUUGUCUGAUCGAUUGAGUUUUCCAAACUCGUCAUGAUAUAAGUACUUAUUAUUGUUCUGAGUAAUUUUUUUUGCCUGCUCGGGCAAUAUAUUUGGCUGCUUUUACCUAUUUAUGACCAUGCAAUAAAAGCUAGUUAUUUGACUUCACAUGAAUGUACAAUAGCAGGUUUAACCGAAUGGUUUUCUCUCAUUUGUUCUAUCCUAUCCAUUUGACCUUCGUUAGUUUUCAUUGGUUUAUUUGCUUGUUUUGUUAGUGGAUUCGGCAGUUGGUGGUGGAGGUUUAAUAUUGAACAGCACAUGAGAUUGCCACCCUAUUAGAUCCUGCUGUGUUGGUUGAAAAGUUACCCGGAGUUGUCUUGGAGCUCUGCCAAGUUGAAGCGCCAUCUAGCGCCUGUCUACUGAGAGGUGGUCAUGUAGCAAUUAUCGAAGCUGCUAACGGCAAUCGGGGUUAUAGUUAAUGAUGUAUAAUAAUAUACUCGAGCUAUGGUCAGAGUGUCGACUCUUGAUUUGACGUAGCGUCAGCCAACUUGUCCUGAUGAGAUUGUACCUUUGGGGGUUGUCACUUGUGAGGUGAUCAACCUGGGAAUGUAACUUUGUUAGUUCAGAUGGUGGUUCUGCACUUUUGCUAA